rnacentral:rRNA from 1 species
GACAGAGGGGGCAAGCGUUGUCCGGAUUUAUUGGGCGUAAAGAGCGUGUAGGCGGCCAGGUAGGUCCGUUGUGAAAACUGGAGGCUUAACCUCCAGCUGUCGAUGGAAACCAUCUGGCUAGAGUCCGGAAGAGGAGAGUGGAAUUCCUGGUGUAGCGGUGAAAUGCGCAGAUAUCAGGAAGAACACCCGUGGCGAAGGCGGCUCUCUGGGACGGUACUGACGCUGAGACGCGAAAGCGUGGGGAGCGAACAGG